GAUGAAGAACGCAGCGAAAUGCGAUAAGUAAUGUGAAUUGCAGAAUUCCGUGAAUCAUCGAAUUUUUGAACGCAUAUUGCGCCCUCUGGUAUUCCGGAGGGCAUGCCUGUCCGAGCGUCAUUAAGUCCACUUAAGCCCUGCUUAGUGUUGGGAGACUGCUCCAGCGGUGCUACCCUGUAGCUACCCUGCAGCUCCUCAAAGACAGCGGCGGAGUUGUGGUAUCCUCUGAGCUUAGUAACUUGUUCUAGCUUUCGAGUACACCACUUCCCCUGCCGUAAAACCCUUAAUUUUUAAUGGUUGACCUCGGAUCAGGUAGGAAUACCCGCUGAACUUAAGCAUAUCAAUAAGCGGAGGA
rnacentral:misc_RNA from 1 species